UAGUGCUCUGAUAAAAGCGAUCUGAGAGUUCUUUGGCCCCUUCGAUACCACAGUAAGGACAGAGCAAGAAGUUGUUAGUCUGCAACCCUGAAGAUGGCCUUCACCAGAACCUGAUCUUGGUGGCUCUCUAAUCGCUGACUUCCAGCCUCCAGAACGUCUGUUGCAGAGGAGCGAGAUGGACACCACCAUGGAGCUCUGAAAGUCCUGAAAAUUCUUACUGGGUUGGCGAAGAUUCCACGUACAAAUUCUUCAGGUUAUCCUCACUGAUCCAUUCCAUAAAGCUAGCAAAAGAAAUCCUGACACCCAGUGGAUCGCCAACCCAGUCCACAAGCACACGAAGAUAGAAGGACUGACAUCUGCAGGCUAUAAGAAUGUGGCCUUGGAAAGGGUCACAAGUUUCACCACACUACUGGUGGUUCUCACUUGUGCGGCAUGGAGAAGAUGCAAUACUCUCUAGCUCCACCAUUACUGCUAAUGUACUGCUUAACUUGCUUAAUCAGUCAGACAGCAAAUAUUCACUGAUCAAGAACUAAGAACCAUACAUACUGUUUUUAAGUCAAGAAGUAUUUGGAUAGAAGGAAAGUCAAUGCUUAAAUCCACUGAAAAUACUUAAAUGGAGCUGAUGUAACCAAAAGGAGAAUGGAAAAAUUAUUAAAAGCUACUUAAAAAUGA